rnacentral:rRNA from 1 species
AACGAACGCUGGCGGCAUGCCUAAUACAUGCAAGUCGAACGCCCUCUCGGUUAGAUUGAACGAGUUUGCUCCUGAUUGGUAGGCAUUUGAGUGAGUGGCGGACGGGUGAGUAACACGUGGGUAACCUGCCCUAAAGUGGGGGACAACAUUUGGAAACAGAUUCUAAUACCGCAUAAAACCUAACACCGCAUGGUGGUGGGGUGUAAGACGAUUUCGGCUAUGACUUUUGGCUGGGCCCGCGGUGCAUUAGGUAGUUGGGGAGGUAAAGGCUCACCAAGACCGGGAUGCGUAGCCGAUCUGAGAGGGUGAUCGGCCACACUGGGACUGAGACACGGCCGAGACUCCUACGGGAGGCAGCAGUAGGGAAUCUUGCACAAUGGACGAAAGGCUGAUGGAGCAAUGUCGCGUGAGUGAAGAAGGAUUUCGGAUGGUAAAGCUAUGUUGUUGGAAAAGAAUGUAAGUGCUAGUACCUGAUGAGGUAGUGACGGUACCCAAAGAAAAAGCUACGGCUAACUACGUG